GAGUUUGAUCAUGGCUCAGGAUGAACGCUGGCUACAGGCUUAACACAUGCAAGUCGAGGGGAAACGACGGGGAAGCUUGCUUCCCCGGGCGUCGACCGGCGCACGGGUGAGUAACGCGUAUCCAACCUGCCUCUGACUGAGGGAUAACCCGUCGAAAGUCGGCCUAAUACCUCAUGGCAUCGUCUGCGGGCAUCCAACGACGAUUAAAGAUUUCAUCGGUCAGGGAUGGGGAUGCGUCUGAUUAGCUUGUUGGUAAGGUAACGGCUUACCAAGGCGACGAUGAUUAGGGGGCCUGAGAGGGUGGUCCCCCACACUGGGACUGAGACACGGCCCAGACUCCUACGGGAAGCAGCAGUAGGGAAUAUUGGUCAAUGGGCGGAAGCCUGAACCAGCCAUGCCGCGUGAUGGAUGACGGCCUUAGGGUUGUAAACAUCUUUUCUGCUAGAGGAAUAGAGUUCACGUGUGGACAGACGACUGUAUAGCAGGAAUAAGGAUCGGCUAACUCCGUGCCAGCAGCCGCGGUAAUACGGAGGAUUCGAGCGUUAUCCGGAUUUACUGGGUUUAAAGGGUGCGCAGGCGGGCUCUUAAGUCAGCGGUGAAAUGUCUGGGCUUACCCUAGGAAUUGCCGUUGAUACUGGGAGUCUUGGAUAAGCAUAAGGACGGCGGAAUGCGUAGUGUAGCGGUGAAAUGCUUAGAUAUUACGUAGAAGACCAAUUGCGAAGGCAGCUGUCUGGGUCUUUAUCGACGCUCAAGCACGAAAGCGUGGGGAGCAAACAGGAUUAGAUACCCUGGUAGUCCACGCCGUAAACGAUGAUCACUCGCUCUUGGCGAUAUGCUGUCAGGGGCCAAGCGAAAGCGUUAAGUGAUCCACCUGGGGAGUACGGCCGCAAGGCUGAAACUCAAAGGAAUUGACGGGGGCCCGCACAAGCGGAGGAACAUGUGGUUUAAUUCGAUGAUACGCGAGGAACCUUACCUGGGCUAGAACGGCAUACGAAUUAAGAGGGAAGCCUUUUAAGCCUUUACGGCGUAUGUCGAGGUGCUGCAUGGUUGUCGUCAGCUCGUGCCGUGAGGUGUCGGGUUAAGUCCCAUAACGAGCGCAACCCUUAUCAUCAGUUACCAUCAAGUAAAGUUGGGGACUCUGGCGAGACUGCCGGUGCAAACCGUGAGGAAGGUGGGGAUGACGUCAAAUCAGCACGGCCCUUACGUCCAGGGCGACACACGUGUUACAAUGGGUAGUACAGAGAGUUGCCAGCCAGCGAUGGUGAGCUAAUCUAUUAAAUCUACCCUCAGUUCGGAUUGGAGUCUGCAACUCGACUCCAUGAAGCUGGAUUCGCUAGUAAUCGCGCAUCAGCCAUGGCGCGGUGAAUACGUUCCCGGGCCUUGUACACACCGCCCGUCA
rnacentral:rRNA from 1 species